rnacentral:rRNA from 1 species
ACGAACGCUGGCGGCGUGCUUAACACAUGCAAGUCGAACGAUGAUGGCCUUCGGGUCGGAUUAGUGGCGAACGGGUGAGUAACACGUGGGCAACCUGCCCUCCACUCUGGGAUAACUCCGGGAAACCGGGGCUAAUACUGGAUAUGACCUUCUGGCGCAUGCCGGGUGGUGGAAAGUUUUUCGGUGGAGGAUGGGCCCGCGGCCUAUCAGCUUGUUGGUGGGGUGAUGGCCUACCAAGGCGGUGACGGGUAGCCGGCCUGAGAGGGCGACCGGCCACACUGGGACUGAGACACGGCCCAGACUCCUGCGGGAGGCAGCAGUGGGGAAUAUUGCACAAUGGGCGCAAGCCUGAUGCAGCGACGCCGCGUGAGGGAUGACGGCCUUCGGGUUGUAAACCUCUUUCAGCAGGGCCCAAGGGUGACUGAGUGUACCUGCAGAAUAAGCACCGGCUAACUACGUGCCAGCAGCCGCGGUAAUACGUAGGGUGCGAGCGUUGUCCGGAUUUUAUUGGGCGUAAAGGGCUCCUUAGGCGGCCUGUCGCGUCGGAAGUGAAAGCCCACUGCUUAACGGUGGGUCUGCUUCCGGUACGGGCAGGCUGGAGUAUGGCAGGGGAGACUGGAAUUCCUGGUGUAGCGGUGGAAUGCGCAGAUAUCAGGAGGAACACCGGUGGCGAAGGCGGGUCUCUGGGCCAUUACUGACGCUGAGGAGCGAAAGCGUGGGGAGCGAACAGGAUUAGAUACCCUGGUAGUCCACGCCGUAAACGUUGGGCGCUAGGUGUGGGGACUGUUUCCACGGUCUCCGUGCCGGAGCUAACGCAUUAAGCGCCCCGCCUGGGGAGUACGGCCGCAAGGCUAAAACUCAAAGGAAUUGACGGGGGCCCGCACAAGCGGCGGAGCAUGCGGCUUAAUUCGAUGCAACGCGAAGAACCUUACCAGGGCUUGACAUGCACGGUGCAGCCGUAGAGAUACGGUGUCCUUUGGGGUCGUGCACAGGUGGUGCAUGGUUGUCGUCAGCUCGUGUCGUGAGAUGUUGGGUUAAGUCCCGCAACGAGCGCAACC